rnacentral:rRNA from 1 species
AUUGUUCGCAAUGGGCGCAAGCCUGACGACGCAACGCCGCGUGGAGGAUGAAGAUCUUCGGAUCGUAAACUCCUGUCGAGCGGGACGAAUGGCCCGUGGCCUAAUACGCCGCGGGAGUGACGGUACCGCUAAAGGAAGCCCCGGCUAACUCCGUGCCAGCAGCCGCGGUAAUACGGGGGGGGCAAGCGUUGUUCGGAAUUACUGGGCGUAAAGGGCUCGUAGGCGGCCAACUAAGUCGGACGUGAAAUCCCCCGGCUCAACCGGGGAACUGCGUCCGAUACUGGAUGGCUUGAAUCCGGGAGAGGGAUGCGGAAUUCCAGGUGUAGCGGUGAAAUGCGUAGAUAUCUGGAGGAACACCGGUGGCGAAGGCGGCAUCCUGGACCGGCAUUGACGCUGAGGAGCGAAAGCCAGGGUAGCAAACGGG